GCCAGCAUGGCAUAGUGGUUUGAGCAUUGGACUAUGGCUCUGGAGACCAGGGUUCGAUUCCCAGCUCAGCCA